GGGCCAGGGGGUCUGGUUUUAUAGUCCCCUCAAGUGAACCUGGGCCGUCGGAUCAAACCGACAUUGAUUGAACGGUUAUUCUUGAUCCUUUAGGUCGGUGGAGCAUAAUCCGCGAGAUUGAGCGUGAUUGGCCAUAGGAGGUGGGCGGGCGCCCAGUAGGACAGGGCGGGCGCCCUGUCUCUGGCCCCAUUUCGCCUCCGCUUCGGUCUCGUGGCUUCUGGAGUCUUCUAGAUGUAAGAUAAUUGCGCGGCACGUUGAUAUCUCUAUGUAAUCCCGACGUGUGGGCCUUUCUUCCUUAUUUCCUGAUAACCCCCUGCAGAAAUAGACAAACACCAAAACUCGUGGAAUUCUGUCAGAUAAAACCCUAAGUCUAGAUGUUGAUUUCAUUUGGAUCCUUUUCUUUGUUUAUUUGAUAAUUAAAUUUGAUACUUAAGGACCGUCAACAAACUUCCCCAAGCUUACCUCUUGCUCAUCCCUGAGCAAGGAUAGACUCAGCAAUGGAUCAGAAGUUGUUGCAAUAUCUUAAAAAUUUGACGGUACACAUACUUUUAAAUGAGGUCUCAUCUCUGAGUUAGAGUAAACUGUCAAGACUUAAAACUUACUUACUUUACCUUUCACCAUGGGACUUGUAACCGUCACUUCUGUCUUGAGUGGUUAAAAGAUAGAACAGUCCCGUCAAGUGCCAUGUCUCUUAUUCGUGAUCAGCUAUAGCUCUGGAGUUUUUGCAGAUUUUCAAAUAAAACUCAGAGAUUCCUUUGUAUGACUCUCUCAUAUCUCUCUUUUGUGGUAUUUCUGGAUCCUUACCAAGGCAGUGAUGGUAUAUGCCUUCUCUCAAAAUAUGUGGUAUUUGUGGUAUAAGGGAUAGUGACAUUGCCCUCUCUCUCACCCUACUCUAAUAAGGCUUUAAUAUCUGGAGCUCAUAGGUGGGAGAUAAAGUAUACAUACUUACAAGAAAUUUAUUGUAUAGUCAAACCAUGGAUCCAAAGAAACAAAUCAAUAAGCCAAAUCAAGAUGUGCAUGUGUGGCGAAUGAAUAGUGUAUGGUGAUGAUGGUGAUAACAAUGGUGAAAGUCUAAUUCUACUUUUGCUCUUUUGAGGGGAUACAUACCUUCCUUGCUUUUUGAAACUUUAUGAGGAGAAUGAGAUGCUCUUCUUUUUCUUUCCUCUCAGGUGGGUAUCUUGUACCCCUAAUUCUACUGUCGGACACUUGUCCAUUUUUACCUCUCGUCUCACUCUUUUUGUUUUCUUUCGAGGUUCCGGGCACUUGCCCCUUUUUAUUUCCUCGUUUAUUUUUUUUUCUUUUCUUUUUUUUUCUUCUUUUUUUUUCAGAGCACUCAUCUCUUGAGAUAAUAUAGCAAGUGGUAGUCGCAAGAUAACUUGAGCAUUUAUUUUACAAGAGAAAAACACAGAUGUUUUUGGCUAUUCUCUCCCGAAUUAGGAGUAGAAUAUUUUUAGGUGAUUUUGGAGAUGGAAAUGGAUGGAUAUAUGUGGAUGGUACUUCCGGAGUAGAAGUAGCAUAUAUGAGUGAACGUGCAAGUGAAUCUUGAUUUAACCACAUGACAAGCUCCUAAGGGUCUACACAGCUUGACUACACUCAAUGCUCAUAAGCAGUAAAUAAUAAAUGUGUGGCUCAAAGUCUAGCAAGCAUGUAUAUAUGGCUGUGGUAGAAAUUUAAACUCUCAUCAUACAGGAACUCAUCAUGCAACAUUUUAAAGAUUUUCAAAGAUAAAAUUCUCUAGAAUUCUAGCAUCUCUAGGAACAGAUAAACAGCAGCUCAACCUUCCCAUAUCUUAUCCGUUAACAACUUAGAUUUCAGAUCAAGUUUUCAUCCCACAAGUUUAGAUCUAGAGCAAGCUUUAAAUUAUAACAGUUAUGUCUAAACUUGAGAGAGAACUUUAAAUUUGCAAAUUAGGCAGAGCAACUAUUCAUCAUAUCCAUGCUAGAGUUUUAUUAUUAAGAUUCAUAGCAAACUUUAUUUAUUUAUUUAUUUAUUUAUUUAGCAAACUAAGAAAAGAUAUAUAUAUAUAUAAGCAUAAAAUCUUUAUUUGGUUUUUCAUAGUUUAUGUAUUUUAAUAUUCUAAUAUAAGUAUAAAGAUAGGUAGAAAUACUUAGUGAGAUAAAUAGGGGUGCUUUCCCCCAAGCUGAAUUUUGACGUAAUUUCUCUUGAUGUAGCUAGCAGGUGGCAGAGGUGUAUUUGAAAGUCAGCAGCAUUCUGACAGCGAUUAGAAUGUCCUCCGUCUGCUAGUCUUCUUGAUUCUUAAAUUCUGUGGAGCUCAAAUAGACAACAAAGCUUGUGGAACUAAUUAAGUGUUAGCAUAAAUAUCUAGCCUUCAUCACGUUGAGCUUCCUCAAUAAAUAUUACUCCCUGUUUUUAUAUAUUUUUAUUUUAUAAAGUAGAAAAGAAAUAUUUAUUUUAUUUUUAUGCCACCACAGUGAAGGUACUUAUGGGUUUUAUGCCACUCGUAUACUCACAUGGGGCUUAGUAUUUUUUAACAUUUUUAUUAGCUUUUCAAGAUAGCAUGAUUAACUAAAAAUCUAUUUAAGGAAAGUAAAUAAUUAAAGGGAAAAGGAAAUGCAGAAAGGAUAAAUAUGGAUAACUACCAAUCUUACCUUUCGGCGAGAGUUCAAUGUUUUAAGUCUUCUUGACAAGACUUCUCACCGUGUUCAUUCUUCAGGUGCGUCAUUUGAUUCAGGUGCGGACCUUGACGUCUGCACCUUUUAAUACGGUGUCACCCAUGUUCUUCGUUUGCCCAGCAGUUCGAAGUGCGGUGCUAGCAGUAUCUUGCUCACUGUGUUUGUGCUCGUAGUGUACCUGCUCAUAGAGACAAGGCAGAGAUCAAGUGCAUGGGCCCUGUUGGUGGAAAACACCAACAGAACCAAAAGUGUAUUUGUUCUUCUCUAACCUUAAGCAUAGUGAGCAAGACAAAGUUGAUGGAUGAUAAGUUCAUGAGUGUAGCACUUAUAACAUUUGUCAGAUCAGAUCGCUCAACCUUAUAGAAAGAUAAUCUAUCUAUGUAUAUGUCUUUUUCUUUAUAUCUCUCAAUGAUUGAAUGUGUAACAUUUUAGCUCAUAUGAUUAGGAGUGUGGGAUCACGGAGGUAGUACUAAGAACAAGGAUUAAAGGACUAAACAUGUUGAAUCAGUUGGGUUGGUUAAUCUAGAGUUGUAAAUCAUACACGUUUGUCUCUUUUAUUUAUAUGAACGCCAGAACCAAGGAGAAGCUUAUAAAAGUGAUAGUCAAGUACCUUAAGAUGUUACCUUGCUUGAAGAGUGAUGGUACAGUAUCAUCUUGUGGAAGCUUUCCUUUCUUAGCAGUUGUGCAUCGUGUUUGUGGCACCGUCCAUGGAUCAUCUCUCUAUGAUGAAUGAGCUAUGUCCUUCUUGUGCAAAUUGUUAAACUUCAUAUGUCACUCUCUUCGUCUCUGAUGUGAGUUUAUCUCAGGACUUCCCAAAUCAAUAUUGAAAGUUUUUUUGUAGGGGUUAGUCCGACAAAAUAUACCAAUAUCAACUCAAGCAGUUUUUUUUAGUUCAAUAACCAAACUAGACUCCAUGUCUAAUCAGAUUAAGGAAGGCUAUUUAACCUAAGCACCAUGCUUAAUUUAAAUGCCAAUGGAAGUAUGGCGAGUACUUCCAAACCAACACUUGCUAGUAAAUAGACAAAGGUAGCAUGACAGCAUUUAUAGAGAUCUACUCAAGUGGAGAUGAAGUAGUGUGAUUAGUAUUUAACAAAUUGAGCAUGUCUCAAAGGUAGGGACAACCAGCAUAGCAACAUGGCAAAGGAUGUUUUUAUGUAAAGUACUCCCCCAAGCUUGAAUUUUGCAAAAUUCAAGUUUGGAUGAAUUUAAUCCAAUGUUGUAUGAUGAUUGGUUGGACAUACCUUGUGCUUGUCAUUCAUCCGAUCUUCUUGCUCCAAUCCUAGAAAGGUUAGUGACAAGAAUACCCAAAGGAAUAUUUUUUUUUACAAUUAUCCUUAUAUGCUCAAUACACAAGGUAAUGUUGCAAAUAAUUAAAAGCUCAUGUUACGAUCUGAUCAAUGCUUAUUUUAAGACACUAAGCUUGUCCUUAGGAAACCAUCAGUUUAUGUUGGCGAAGUGGUUUCCCCUCUGACGCCAACCUAUAUCUAGAUCAACUCAACGAGAUCUGCAAUAUUUAUUAUAGACAUAUGCAUCGACAACCGCCCUUUUAAAGUUUUUAUAAAUAGAAAGGAAGAGGGGGUUGGAGAUCUCAAGUGUGGUGAUGUCGGAGAGACCAAUAGAUUGGAAAGAUGUUGCAUAUGAGCAUGGAGUAAACAAAGUGGCUAUGAAAUAAAUUCCAUGCUCAUUAAUGUUAUCUUCGUCUCCAAUCUGAAUGUUCGGAGUUUCUUCUGGAUUGGUCUCACCUAUGUUCUCUUCUAUAGUUGGAUGAAUCUCAUCUUCAAAGGGAGUCAAGAACUCACCAUUUGAAAUUGAGCCAAAGUCAGAACCCAUUAAGGCUUCUUCCUUAUCCAUCCAUUUUACACAUUCUAGCCAUUUAGAACUUGUGAUCAAAAUAGGGGAGGUGUUAGAAUUUUCUAUAUGGCUUAGCUCUCCUUCUAUGGCAUCACUUGACAUGCCAUCCUUAUGGUCUUCAUGACUCCUAUGGUUUGGUCGUCUUGGUGAAUUGCUAGGAUCAUCAUGAGACUGAAAAGAAGAGGGAUAAGAGGGAUCUCUAAGGUCAAGGAUGGAUUUAGAACUUGUGAACAUGGAAGGGGAGUAGAUAGAAUUGUCUAUAUGGCUUAUCUCUCCUUCACUUGAUAUGUCAUCCUCGACUUCUUCAUGAUAGGAACCAGGACAUUCUCUAAGAGAAACAUUAUUGCAAGGAUUUGAAUUAUCCCUGCUUGAAGGUCUCUUAUAGAACCAGAAGUCUAAACCAUCAGCAUCUAAAAGAUUUAAGGUCGGAAUUCCUUCCUCCCUUGGAGAAUUUUGGGGUAUUGAUGGUUUAGGAUCGAUAGCUAAAGUUUGGGAUUGAAGUGGUUGUGAUCUGGCUAUCGAAACUUCUUCUUCUUGUCUAGGAACUGGUUCUUUCUCUUUCUCAGGGAUAUAAAAGCUAGGAGACUUUCCACUCAUUAAAUCAAUCAAAUUCCAAGCUUCACUAGCGGAUAGGUGGUGGAAAGAUCCUCCAGAGGCCGCAUGAAGGGUUUGCUUAUCUUCCUUACUAAGGCCCUCAAAAAAGUGAAUUAGAAGAACUUCUUCUGGAAUAGAAAGUUUUGGGCCAAUGAGAGUAAGGUUAAUAAAUCGGUCCCAUGAUUUGCCAAGAGAUUCUUCUUCCAGUUGUCUAAAAGAAAGAAUCUCACGCCGAAGUUCCACCACUUUGGAGAUUGGAAAAUAUUUAGAAAGAAAACUACUAUAUAACUUCUUCCAAUCUCCAUGAACACUCCCUACUUUGAGUUUAUACCAAUGUCUAGCUUUUCCCGUUAAAGAGAACGGAAAGAGCUUCCAUUUAAGGGUCUCAUCGGACAUGCCUUCUAUGCGAAGGAGGUCACAGACUCGAUAAAACUCUCUUAGGUGUGUGUAUGGGUUUUCCUCACCUUCUCCUGAGAAAGGUUGUUUUUGAAUAAAUUCUAUGUAUUUGGGGUCUAUCUCAAAACUAGAUGCUAUGAUAGGCUUUGAAGAUUUUGGUGGUUCGAGAUGUGUGCCCAUAGGUCUAUGAAAUUCAUAGAUAGACAUGUUUGAAUUCAUAAUAGACCAGAGAUCAAGGAUUAGAUAAGAAGAAAGAAUAGCAGAGAUGAGGCAAAGGAUAAAAGGAAAAUAUUUAUUUAUUUUUUAUUUAUUUUUUUAUAAAAUGAUUAAACUAGUUCGUAGUCAACUCAGCAACCGUUUCCCCGGCAACGGCGCCAAAAAUGCUUGUUGACACUUACUAACACCACUUGAAUACUAGGUUGUCAUCCCCAGCAUGGCACUAGAGUGUAUUAUGGUAUUUAUACGCACACAGAUAAUCCGCAAGCGCACGGAUACCGUUGAAGCUUUUACCCGGUUAAAGUUUUAUCGUAUCCAUAGGGAAAUGGGAGAACUGAUCUACGCUCUAACUUAACCAGGAUAAGUAAAUAGGUGUGAAUAGGAAAGAUGGUAGAAUCAAAUAAGAACAAUAUUAAAGGUAAGAUAAUAGUGAGUUAUAAUAUGGGAAUAGAUAGUAGAGCAAUUCUAGUAUAUGGGCGAUGGUAGCAGAAUAGAGAGGUUAACUAUGGUUUCUCUACUUCAAAGGGGUAUGUCUAUGUCUGGGACGAACCACGUGAUAAGAGUACACCACAAAGGAUGCUUAUCCUUAGGCCGAUAAACCCUACCCGUCCUGCUAACGAGAGGUGGACUACAGGGGACCAACGUAACUGUCACCUACGCGGCCUACCACACGAUCCAGCUAGUCAGGGGAUAUCCACAAGUAAUCUAGGUCUAAGCACCACGCUUACACCUAUACUACAACUCUAACCUAUAGGGUCCUAUAGAUUAGAAGUACUCAAAAGAGUUGUGAACCAGAACAUACAUGAUUAGUAAUUGCAUAAUGAAUUAGAAGUAGAUUACCAGAGUCAUCCCAUGAGCAAGCUUGAUUAGAGCUUGAUCAUGGCGAAGUACAACCGGAGGAAGAACCGACAGGCCGGCCUCUCCUCUAAUCCUCCUUCGCUCUCCAUCUCGCUACUAUCUAGAUCUACUCUAGUUUAGAGAAGAGAGGAGAGCUCUCAUCUCUAAACCCUAGCUUUUGCUCUGUCUAUGAAUAAUGAAUAAUGAUCAAGGGGGUGCCUCCUCCAGGGGCCAGGGGGUCUGGUUUUAUAGUCCCCUCAAGUGAACCUGGGCCGUCGGAUCAAACCGACAUUGAUUGAACGGUUAUUCUUGAUCCUUUAGGUCGGUGGAGCAUAAUCCGCGAGAUUGAGCGUGAUUGGCCACAGGAGGUGGGCGGGCGCCCAGUAGGACAGGGCGGGCGCCCUGUCUCUGGCCCCGUUUCGCCUCCGCUUCGGUCUCGUGGUUUCUGGAGCCUUCUAGAUGUAAGAUAAUUGCGCGGCAUGUUGAUAUCUCUAUGUAAUCCCGACGUGUGGGCCUUUCUUCCUUAUUUCCUGAUAACCCCCUGCAGAAAUAGACAAACACCAAAACUCGUGGAAUUCUGUCAGAUAAAACCCUAAGUCUAGAUGUUGAUUUCAUUUGGAUCCUUUUCUUUGUUUAUUUGAUAAUUAAAUUUGAUACUUAAGGACCGUCAACACGGAGUUCGCUAAAACGACGCUGCGGUUCACCAAAAACGAAGCCGAGGGCAUGGGGAGCAAGAGGGGGUUAACACGAGCUCACCUAGGGCAGAAAACGAAGGCGAGGAGGUCUCGGAGAGGGCGUUCGCCGCGAGACGGCGGGCGGCGGCUUCUGUAAAAGUUCGGCUAUGGUUAGAAAUCGAACCGGGGCGAGUUAACACUGGAGAAGGGUCUUGGCAUCUCCGCAAGGAUGAAACGAAGCUCGGCAACAUGCUCACUAGCUCGGUAAUGCGAUGAAUCAAUCCGGCGCCGAUGCUCACGCCACGACAAGAUCCAAACCGAAGCUAAGCAACUAUGGCGUCAAAUAGAUGGAAAAAGAAAGGGAUAGAGAGGUUCACGGGGCUUAAAAAGGGCGAAAUAAAUCUCCGACGCAGAAAAUCCCACAAAGAACGGAGAAGGGGGGUGCGGACUCUCCUUCUGGAUUCCAGCUCGCAUACGGCUUGGGGAGGAAGAAGGAAAGGGGGAAGGGGACGCUGCGUAGUGGGCUCCACCUGUCAGUGACCGGUGGCGCGGGGCCGGUUUGCCAGAGAGAAAGAGAGGGAGAUGGUCUGUGGUGCCCCAUGGGCCUGCACGCAAGGGGAGAGAAGGGAGUUGGGCCGAGCUAGGCCAUGUAGGAAAGAGGCAGGCCGAGGGAGAAGGGAAAGAAAAGGGGGAGAGGCCGAGAUGGGCUCUGGUGCCACUCGGGCCUAAAGCUGGGAUAGGGAGAUUGGCUGAUUUUGUUUGAUUUUUUGAAUGAAUUUUUAAACCCAAGGCAAUUUUGAAACCAUUUCAAAACAUUUUGAAUCAUUCUGAGUUUCUAGACAAAACCACUCAAUACAAGAAAACAUAUGCUCUGACAUGAAUGCACUAAUCACGCAGCUAAAUCCUAUGAUAAUUUUUAUUCAAAUGAAAAUAUUAUUUCUCUAUGUUUCAUGAGCGCUGAAAAAUACAAAUUUAAGUUAUUUUUCACCUAUUUCACAAUGAACUAAUUUUAGGGUGUUACACCGGGAAACUUUGUAUAGUAUCGUCUUAUCAGGCAAGUAACCCAAAUAUGGGGAGAAUCAGAGUAACCCGCUACUAGGCACCUAUAAGCCUAUCAAUCCUACCAAUAGGAGGUGGACUAGAGAGGAAUCAACGCAGCUAUAAAGUCACCUACGCGAACUACCACUAUCCGGGUGAUCAGGGGACAUUUAGAAGCAACCAUAGCCCAGACACCACGUCUACGCUACGAAUCACUACUCCGACCUAGGAGCUAUCCAAAUCGUAGUACUCAAUGUAAUAUGAGUUGCAAACCAAAGAACGAAUACAAACAAGUUGCUUACUUGAAUCAAAAGUGUAAAUACAAAAAGUACCUCAGAACGUGGUUCCGGGCGAGGGAGCCGAAUCCCAAAGAAUACAGCCACGAAGAAGCACUGACAGGCCGGAACUCCUCUAGAAUCUCUACUCCUCUACUCUAUCUCUCUCUAAUCUCUAUCUUGAAUGCUAGCCUAGAUCUAGUGGAUCUCUAUCUAAUGCUCUGGCUCUUCAUCUCUUGAUCUGGCCUCCUCCAGGGGGGUCUUGCCUUCUAUUUAUAGCCUACUAGGGUGAACGCACGCCGUUGGAUCAAACCGACUUAACAAGCAGUCGAGAUGGCUCCUUAGAGGCGGUGGAGGAAGCUUCCAAAAGGGGGGCCAACCCUAACCCUAGGGGGCCGGGCGGCGCUAGGGUGGGGCUGAUCGGCCCCACCUGGUGGUGUCUGCUGGUCCCCUUACUUCGAGAGUCUUCUGGAGUCUUUCUGAUCCCUCAGGUGUCCUCCUUCCAUCCCUGAUAAGUUUCAUGGUUAAUUGACACUUAAAUCCCUCUUUUCAGCACUUUCUGAAGUAAUCCCUGGAAAACAUAGAAUAUACAAAACUCGUGGAAAUUGCUAGUGAUAACCCUAUUCUAGUGGAUAUUCAUUUUUGGUGGAGGAAUAAAUGCUAAUAAAUUUUAUAAGUUAACAAGUGUCAAAACCUCUCAUCAGUACCAGUGUUCACCACUGUGAAGUCUGUAGGAACGUAUGAGUUGCCUACUCGUAGAUCUCUUCCAUGAUUCUCAUGGGGUAGCAGAGUGACUGAUCUGCAAGCUACAAACACAUGGUUGUAUGUGAUAAAGGAUAAUUGAAGAGUUUAUCAUAGAUCACCUUAGGCAUGAUGUUGAUGCUUGCAUCGAAGUCACAUAUUGCCUCGUUGAAGUUUGUACUUCUAAUGGAGAUCAGAAUAACUAGCCUUGAUUCUAUUGAGGAUGGUAGUAGUAGUAGUUGUUGUUGAUGUAGUUCACAUCCUCCCUCAGCUCUAGGAAAUUGGUACCUGUAUGCCCAGUUUCUCCACACUCUUCACAAGUCAUGCUAGAAUCAUGAAUGUGCAUGACUUCUUUCUUUUUAAUGGUUCUUUCAUCAAGUCGUUUCAUAAACAGGUUCAUCUUGGCAGCUAGCAUGUCUACCUCCUUGAGCUGGUGCAUUCCUCCACCUCUCUUGCGGGUCUGAGUUCUUUCUUCACUCCAACCUUGAUUGUAGGCCAUCUUUUCCACAAGAGCAGUGGCUUGAGAGAUAGUUAGUGAUAAGAAUGCUACUCCAGCAGCAGCAUCCAUAGUUACACGAGUACUGUUGCUGACCCCAUGAUAAAAUGUCUGCAUGUGCAGCCAAUUCUCCAUCCCAUGAUGAGGACACUCAAGUAUCUAGUCUUGAAAGUGCUCCCAAUCUUCUGGGACUGUCUCAUCAUGUUGUUGCUGAAAACUCGAUAUAUUCCCAUGCAGAGCAUUGGUCUUACUUGUGGGAAAGAACUUCACCAGGAAAUUGGUGGAACAUAGUGCCCACGUAGUAUUUGUUGACACUUGCUAACACCACAUGAAUACUAGGUUGUCAUCCCCAGCAUGGCACUAGAGUGUACAAUGGUAUUUAUACGCACACAGAUAAUCCGCAAGCGCACGGAUACCGUUAUAGCUUUUACCCGGUUAAAGGUUUUAUCGUAUCCACAGGGAAAUGGGAGAACCAACUACGCUCUAACUUAACCAAGAUAGAUAGAUAGGUAUAAAUAGGAAAGAUAGUAGAAUUGAAUAAGAACAAUAUUAAAGGUAAGCUAACAAUGGGUAAUAAUAUGGGAAUAGAGAGUAGACCAAUUCUAGUAUAUGGGCGAUGGUAGCAGAAUAGAGAGGAUAACUAUGGUUUCUCUACUUCAAAGGGUUAUUUCUAUGUCUGGGACGAACCACGUGAUAAGAGUACACCACAAAGGAUGCUUAUCCAUAGGCCGAUAAACCCUACCCGUCCUGCUAACGAGAGGUGGACUACAGAGGACCAACGUAACUGUCACCUACGCGGCCUACCACACGAUCCAGCUAGACAGGAGAUAUCCACAAGUAAUCUCGGUCUAAGCACCACACUUACACCUAUACUACAACUCUAACCUAUAGGGUCCUAUAGAUUAGAAGUACUCAAAAGAGUUGUGAACCAGAACAUACAUGAUUAGUAAUUGCAUAAUGAAUUAGAAGUAGAUUACCAGAGUCAUCCCAUGAGCAAGCUUGUUUAGAGCUUGAUCAUGACGAAGUACAACCGGAGGAAGAACCGACAGGCAGACCUCUCCUCUAAUCCUCCUUCACUCUCCAUCUCGCUACUAUCUAGAUCUACUCUAGUUUAGAGAAGAGAGGAGAGCUCUCAUCUCUAAACCCUAGCUUUUGUUCUGUCUAUGAAUAAUGAAUAAUGAUCAAGGGGUGCCUCCUCUAGGGGCCAGGGGGUCUGGUUAUAUAGUCCCCUCAAGUGAACGGUUAUUCUUGAUCCUUUAGGUCGGUGGAGCAUAAUCCGCGAGAUUGAGCGUGAUUGGCCGAAAUAGGUGGGCGGGCGCCCUAAGGACUUGGGCGGGCGCCCUGUCCCUGAGCCCUCUCGGCUUCCACUUUGUUCCCGUGGCUUCUGGAGUCUUCUAGAUGAUAGAAAAAUGCACGGCACGUUAAUAUCUCUAUGUAAACCCGACAUGUGGGCCUUCUCUCCAUAUUUCCUGAUAACCCCCUGCAGAAAUAGACAAACACCAAAACUCAUGGAAUUCUGUCAGAUAAAACCCUAAGUUUAGAUGUUGGUUGUAUUUGGAUCCUUUUCUUUGUUUAUUUGCUUAUUAUAUUUGGUACUUAAGGACCGUCAACAACUCCCCCAAGCUUACCUCUUGCUCGUCCCUGAGCAAGGAUGGACACAAGAGUUUUUGCAGUGGUUUUAUGCCUUAAAUGUUCUCAUGCGUUCAAACAAGAUCUCAUCCCUAGGUUAAGGUAAACUGUUAAGAUUUAAACUUACUCAUAUUACCUUCCACCAUGGGGCUUGUAGCAGUCACUUGUGUCUUGAGCAGUUAAAAGAUAGAACGGUCAAGUCAAGCACCAUGUCUCUUGUUCUUUGAUCAACUAUAGCUCUGGAGUUUUUGCAGAUUUUCAAAUAAAACUCAGAGAUUCCUUGUAUGACUCUCUCUAGUCUCUCUUUUGUGGUAUUUCUGGAUCCUUACCAAGGCAGUGAUAAUAUACGCCUUCUCUCAAAGUAUGUAGUAUUUGUGGUAUGAGGCAUAGUGAUAUUGCCUUCUCUCUCACCCUACUCUAAUAAGGUUUGAUAUUUGGAGCUCAUAGGUGGGAGACAGCUAAUACAUACUUACAAGACAUUUAUUGCAUAGUCAAACCAUGGAUCCAGAGAAACAAGUCAAUAAGUCAAACCAAGAUGUGCAUGUGUGGCGGAUGAAUGGUGUAUGGUGAUGAUGGUGAUAAUGGUGAAAAUAAUGGUGAAAGUCUAAUUCUACUUUUGCUUUUUUGAGGGGAUACAUACCUUUCUUGCACUUUGAAGGUUUUUGAGAGGAAUGAGAUGCUCUAUAUUUUCUUUUUCUUUUCUCUCAGGUGGGUAUCUUGUACCCCUAAUUCUACUGUCGGACACUUGUCCAUUUUCACCUCUCGUCUCACUUUUUCUUUUCUCUUUCGAGGUUCCGGGCACUUGCCCCUUUUUAUUUCCUCAUAUUUUUCUUCUUUUUUUUUAGAGCACUCACCCUCCUAGAAUAAUGUAGCAAGUGGUAGUAACCAAAAUAGCUCGAGCAUUUAUUUCACAAGGAAAAACAGGAAUGGGAUAAUGUUUUUGGCUAUUCUCUCCCGGAUAGGAGUAGAAUAAUUUUGGGUGAAUCUGGAGAUGGAAAUGAGUGGAUGUAUGUGGAUGCAUACUUCCGGAGUAGAAGCAGCAUGUAUGAGUGGACAUGCAAGUGAAUCUUGAUUAUAACAGCAUGACAAGCUCCUAAGGGUCUACACAGCUUGACCACACUCAAUGCUCAUAAGCAGUAAAAAGUAAAUGUAUGGUUCAUAGUCUAAUAAGCAUGUAUAUAUGGCUGUGGUAGGAUUUUAAACUCUCAUCAUACAGGAACUCAUCAUGCAACAUUUUACAGAUUUUCAAAGAUAAAUUUCUCCAGAAUUCUAGCAUCUCUAGGAACAGAUAAACAACAGCUCAACCUUUCCAUAUCAUAUCCGUUAACGACUUAGACUUUAGAUCAAGUACUCUUCCUACAAGUUCAGGUUUAGAGCAAAUCUUAAUUCAUAACAGUCAUGCCUAAACUUGAGAGAGAUUUCACUUUUGAGAACUAGUCAUGGCAGAGCAACUAUUCAUCAUGUCCAUGUGAGAGCUUAUCAUGAGGGUUCAUAGCAAACUUUAUUUAUUUAUUUAUUUAUUUAGCAAACUAAGCAAAGAUAUAUAAAUAUAUAUAUAUAUAAGCAUAAAAUGUUUAUUUGGGUUUUUAUGGUUAUGCAUCUUUUUAUUAUUUUAGUAAAGUAUAAACAUGAGUAGAAACACUUAGCUGGAUAAAUAGGGGUGCUCUCCUCCAAGCUGGAUUUUGACGUAAUUUCUUCUGAUGUAGCUAGCAGGUGACGGAGGUGUAUUUGAAUGUCGGCAGCACCCUGACAGCGAUUAGAAUGUCCUCCGUCUGCUAGUCUUCUUUGAUCCUUGAAUUCUGUGGAGCUCAAAUAGAUAACAAAGCUUUGUGGAACUGGUUAAGUGUUAGCAUAAAAUCUCUUCACCUUUAUCAUGUUGAGCUUCCUCUAAUAAAUAUUACUCUCUUUGGCAGGAUCAUAAAUUUAUUUUUAUAUUUUCAUUUCUAUAGGACAGGAAUAUAUUUAUUUUAUUUUUACGCCACCACAGUGAAUGUACUUAUGGGUUUUAUGCCACGAACAUACUCACAUGGGGCUUACUAUUUUUAACAUUUUUUUUUCAAGAUAGCAUGACUAACUAACAAGCCAUUUAAAGAAAGUAAGUAAUUAAAGGGAAAAGGGAAUGCAGAAAGGAUAAAUAUGUAUAACUACCGAUUCUACCUUUCGGCGAGGAUUCAAUGUUUUAAGUCUUCUGAACAAGACUUCUCACCGUGUUCAUUCUUCAGGUGCGUCAUUUGAUUCAGGUGUGGACCUUGACGUCUGCACCUCUUAAUACGGUGUCACCCAUGUUCUUCGUUUGUCCAGCAGUUCGAAGUGCGGCGUUGGCAGCAUCCUGCUCAGUGUGUUUGUGCUCGUAGAUCCAGGUCCCUCACUUGGUAGAGUCUGGGAGUUGAAAAACUUCACGAUGUUUUGCUCGAAGUGUACCUGCUCAUAGAGACAAGGCAGAGAUCAAGUGCAUGGGCCCUGUUGGUGGAAAACACUAACAGAACCAAAAGUGUAUUUGUUCUUCUCUAACCUUAAGCAUAGUGAGCAACGCAAAGUUGAUGGAUGAUAAGUUUCAUGAGUGUAGCACUUAUAAUAUUUGUCAGAUCAGGUCGCUUCAACCUUAUGGAAAGAUAAUCUAUCUAUGUAUAUAUCUUUUUCUUUAUAUCUCUCAAAGAUUGAAUGUGUAACAUUUUAGCUCAUAUGAUUAGGAGUGUGGGAUCAUGGAGGUAGUACUAGGAACAAAGAUUAAAGGACUAAACAUGCUGAAUCAGUUUGGUUGGUUAAUUUGGAGUUAUAAAUCAUACAUAUCCGUCUCUUUAUUUAUGUGAACGCUAGAACUAAGGAAAAGCUUAUAAAAAAUGAUAGCCACAUAUCUUAAGACGUUACCUUACUUGAAGAGUGAUGAUACAGUAUCACCUUGUGGAAGCUUUCCUUUCUUAGCGGUUGUGCAUCGUGUUUGUGGCACCCUCCAUGGAUCAUCUCUUAUGAGCUACGUCUUCCUUAUGUAAAUUGUUAAACUUGAUGUGUCUCUCUCCUUGUCUCCAAUGUGAGUUUAUCUCAGACUUCCCAGGUUGAUAUUGAAAGUUUUCCUGCAGGGGUUAGUCCGACAAAAUAUACCAAUAUCUACUCAAGCAAUUUUUAGUUCAGU
rnacentral:lncRNA from 1 species